AAAGCAACAGAGACAGAGUGAUGCAAGCUAAUGGCACGCCUUUGUUCUGCAGUGUUCUGCUGAUGACCUGGGGAAAGCUUCAUUCACUGGCAAAAGAGAAAAAGGACCAUGGAAUGUGGAACCUUGCCCAGCCUGCUGCUCAGGAGGUGAUUGCUCAAGGCUGUCUUAUGCAGAGGAGGUCAACAGUUGACCCAUGAACCAUUUAAACUGGAAGGAAGAAUUAACCAAUACCCUGAGAGAUUGACUACAACUACUUUUCCCUGAAAGAGUGCAGAGUACAGGAGAGGAAGGCCAUUUACUAAUUUUCCUGCUUCCUUCACCAGUCCUCUACCUCUCCAUACCUAAGCUCCUUCACUCAAUAUACUCAAGUCUUCUCUGCUAUGACUGCAUUCCCACAUGCCACGGCAUAUAAAAGGUAGGAUAAGGAGUUCCAUCACUUCACACAAGCAUCUACCAGGAGGAGGAAAAUAAAAACAACAUUUUACCAUCAACUUCGCCACUUGCUGUGAAACCGAAGGCUUGUUAUAUAAGCGUUUGGGGACAUAAUGAAUGUGACUUACAUAUGUCAUCUGGGAG
rnacentral:lncRNA from 1 species